UUCGCCAUUUUUUUUUUAAUUAUAAGACACCUUGGACUUAGUCAUUUCGAGUUACGGCACUUUGAGGUUCUGCGAAGCUUAGGAAUGUUUCCUUCAUCGAAGGUCAAAGUGAAAAUUUCAUGGUGUGAUUCGGAUUGUUGUUGAUAGUGUGUAUUGCAAGGAUAACUAAAAAUGUACUUUAUCGCAAUUUUUAAAUUGUAAAUUAUCUCAUUGUUAGUUUCCAAGGAGGAUAUGUGAAAAUUAAAUUGAGACAAGGAUAACUAAACAUUACAUCCAGAUCUACGAUAAUAUUAAUAUCUGCGCCUAAUUAUAGAGGAAAGUUGAUAAAAAGUAAUCAAAAUGAAAAUAUUUUCGAUUUCUUAGCUAGAUAAUGUUACAAUCUGAACAAAGUCUAAAUUAAUCCAACUUGGGCAACUUUUCCCUACUCUCUCCAACAUAUUGUUUCCCAAAUUUCGUUAAACAGUGAUUUACGUAAAGAAAGUUCAUUGUUUGAUGCAAAUGGUAAUCAAUGACGCGGAAAAUACUACCAAAUAUUUAUUGUUAUUAAGUCCAGUGUGUGGAUAUUGAAAAAUAGAAAGAAAAAAAGAAAGGUAUGGGUAAAAGGAUUUCGCAAAACGCGAACGUAACAACGAGGAUGCGACGGAUUUAAUAAUUUACCAAUUGAAAGUGCAAUUACUCACCGUGCUCGGCGAUAAUUUCAAGUGACUGAAGGGCCCGCGAGACACAGACUACCUCAAGGGUUAAUUCCACCGAUAACGUUGCGGAGAUUUCCAGCCGAUCGAUCAUCCACUGGUUACGCUGAUGCAACUACCUGUAAAACCGCCAAAAAUUAACGCGAAGCGAUACUUGCCGCACCUAUUCCUCCAAAUGCACACGAUCUCGUGUUCGUGGCCGUCUCGCAAUCUCUAUACUCAUCGAUGAACGCAGAAUUGCAGUAAAAAUGGAAGAAAAUUGCGUCCUUGUUUGCCAAUUACCCUUCCAAUAACGAAUACAAGUAAAUUUAUAGGAAAUCUUAUUAAUACAAAUACAAUACAAAUUUCACGUGUUAAUUGUUUGACUGGUAAGUUUAUAAAAUCUCAACUAAAUUCAGUCUGCAAAGUCCUCUUUUCGUUCGUCGUGUUCAUUUUGUUUUCCGACUUAUUUGAUGGUUCAAUACUAAAAUUAAAUUUUCAAUAGUCGAUAAAUUCACAAAAUCUACAAAAUAGGUUUCAUCUUCUGUUAGUAUUUUACAUAACUAUCGUUGGUAAUUUGUCAAGUAAAGACCUUUGCUUGCCUUCGUUGCAACAAAUACAUUAACAAGAAUAGUUGGUUACUAAUCCCCCAAGGUGUCCCCACAAAAUUAAUUUAUCUAAAUUCUUGCACUUAGCUACUUUAAUUGUUAACGCUUAGAAUCUACAAACAUUUUAUGUAUUUUCAUAGAUUUCAAAAAUAUUGGUACCUAAAGAUAACCGAACAAAGUCGAAAACAGAAUGAACGAGGAACGUAAAUAAAACGAACGAUGAAGACGCCUGACAGGCAAAAUUAAGUUAUGAGACAUAAAUUUCAUCGCGUUAAAAGUUUCUAUUAAUAGCUACUCGCCCUUCUCGCGUAGUCAUGGCAUCUAUCAAUAUCGGGUAAUAUAUUCAUCCAAUUGUUAUUUCAUAGAAUAACUUUUGCUUUCGUUCGUAAAUACAUUAUAAUUCGCAUUUAUUAUUCGGCGUAACGAACGCUGAGUAACAUCGAUCGAUAUUUCGGAACAGCUACUCUUGGUAUGGUGGAAAAAGAGGAUAAACAUGUGAUGGGUACACACGAAAUGCAUAUACAGCGGUCACACGAUAAAUUCAGUGCUUCCGUCAGUUACUACAGCAACCAUAUUCUUCAUUUUAUGCAAACACACAUUCGACAAUACGCAUGGAGAUUGUUAUAGACGUGGUGAAAAGUAUGAUGAAUUACUUUACACCGCAUAUAUUAUUCUCUACAUAUUAUACUCUAUAUAAAUAUAAUGAUACGUAAAUUUACAAACUGUGUCAUUUGUAACGUUGAUACACCGUUUACACUAGAUAGAUCAAUGAUGUAACAUCACUAAUGAUUUGUCAAGUCUAAAUUAAAUACAUUACGUUAAAACAAACAAAUGAACUAUCGUAUAGUAUAUAAAUAUAUUCUUUAAGCUACUUGUAAUAGAAACAAUGCUUUCAAAGUAAAUAUAAGAAAGCAAACUUUAUUUUGCUCAAGAAUAUAACUAUAUUGUUUGUCCGUGAAAUUAUUUUCCCAAAUAUAAUAUCUGUCAUUCAUUCUAUCUUUCAUUCUUCCUCAGAAAAGUGUGUUCACUGCAAGACACUCAUAAUUAUGGAUUGAACCACACACUCCUCCAUUAGUCCUACCCUGAAUUCGCUACUGCUCAUCGGCUUCCGGCCAUGGUGACUUUGUCCAACCUGUAAAUAUGAGAUAUUCGUCGUGACAUCAAAAAAUUACGAAACCAACGUGAAAACAGAUGCCCAAAAUGAAAGAAAGAUUCUUCCACGCUACCUAAAAUCCCUUCCAAAAUCGCGCAAUCAAUGAUAUCAACCCAGACUGAUUUAGCAACGACCUAACCUCGAACCGCGGUGCCUAUUCGCGCGCGCCAUCAUCCAGCAAUGGCGCUGCUUCCGCGACACGACAAGGAUCUCUUCGAUCGUUGCCCCGGCGUCGAAAAUUACACGUUUCGUACGUCGUCGCCGCAUAGACGCUUUCGCGUAUUAUUGGACGAGCAUCCCGUGUUCGAGGAUGCUUUAAAAAUCGCCUUUCAUAAUCACGUCACAGAAACAUUAAUCUCCGGCGUAGAGCUCGCUCUGUAUUAUCGAACAACAUCGUCCCUGAAGUUUCUCGUAAUGGCGGCCGUUCUCGCCGCACGGGGCCCAUAGGCGCGUAAAUAUCAGCACGAAUGAGCACCGACAAGCAAAGGAAAAGACCGGCUCUAGCUGCGCUCGUCUCGAGGCACCGGCGCUAGAGGGACAGAGACGGCGAAACUUAGUGACAAAGAACGAAAAAGAGGAAGAGGGGGCUAGCAAAUAGAAAAAGAGAGGAACCGAGGGGCCGUCAUAAUUCCUUGAAUUGAACGGCUGGUUAUUCUCCACCAAGGUUACCGACGCAGAGGAUGAACGAAGCGGGCAGGCCAGGCAAAGCAGGCUAGCAACCUAGCGGGCAGACUACCAUGCAAGCAAGUAAGCAAACGAGCGAGGCAGGCAAGGCGGUCGGGCAGGCCAGGCAAGCAGACAGGCAAGCUGGCUGCCAGCGAGACGCGGAGAGGAGAGGAGAAAAUCAAAAGAGAGGGGAUACAUGACGAGUAGGACGAGUAGGACGAGUAGAGGUUAGGUGCGAGCGAUGGGAGGAAGGGAGGGGAAUCGAUAGAACGACAAGGACGGGGCGCGCAGAGUAUAUGCCGCAGCACGGCAGCAUCAGGCGUCGUCGGCGGUACAUGGACUGCGGAGCUCGGAGGGGGGAACGUCAGGCUGGCAAGCUCAUGGGAGAGAGAAGUGAACGGCGGACGAGAGCUCACGGGGCGACAAGGAAGGGGAUUGGUCGAAGCGGUGGUGCGACUGGGGGAAUGAAGGAGGGCAACACGAUCGGGUCGCUAAAUUUGCAAGAGAAGGAAGGAUGGAGCGAGAAGAGUGGGGAGACAGAGCGAGAGAGAUAGAGAUGGAAACGUUGACGUCGAGGAUCGAGGUGAGCGAAACAGAGCGAAGAGGGGAGCGGACGGGCGGUGGGUCGACAGCACGAGAGAGGGAUGAAGGGGUAAAGGGAGGUAGAGCCGACUUUAUGCAGCUGCGGGACGAUAACAACGAUGGGCUACAGGACCGCCGCUAUAGCUGGGGAAAUGCCAAAUGGGCUACAGGACUGCGCCGGUCUAGCUGUACGUUCGCUCGCUCGUAGUGGCAUGGCGGACGGGCGGCAGAGAGAAGCAGGCAGGAAAGGCGGGAAGGAGAGAGGGAUUUCAAGCGGUCGUCUCUUCUCGUCUGCCUCUACGCUCUACCUAUGUAUAUAUCCACCUACCUACCCGUCCCGGGUGCUCUCUCCGGGUACUCUUCUCUCUACUGCCUGGAACGCACCGUCCUGGGGGUACCUAACCUCUACUGUUUUCAGCGGCUAGCGCCCUUGCUGAUGUUUCUCGGCAUCGGAGCACGUAGUCGCUUAGUUACGCAGACUUCGAUAUCAUUCAUCUUGAGCGAGGUCGAUCAUUGUCCUCUUUCGAGGACCUUAUGUCCUUACGAAUAUGAUGUCACGCGCAUCUUAAGAAGACGUAUAAGAAGAACAUGCCAACGGCUAUAAUUCUUUACGAAAAUUCCGCGAGAUGGAGUUAGCUUUGCCCGUAUAGUGUCUGCGCCAAUAGGUCGCAUCGUUUGGAACUGCCUUUCACAGCAAAAGAUGCUUCAUGUCCACUAUAAGCACAGGAAAGGAAGACAAUGUGACAGAGAAACUGCACAGGCGUGGAUGGUCACCUCCCUUCAAGGCAGAAGAACUUUUACAGGAACCUAACCUAGCAGCAAUCCGGCUAAUCACCGAGUUCCUAAAAGAAAAUAACAUUACAGAUUUAACAGGAGACAAAAUAACAAUACACACAACACUCUGAAUCACAGAAGGACACCAACAAUACAAUAAACACAGAAAUAUAUACAGACAUUACUACACUUAGAAUAAAAUUAUAUCUAGUAUAAAGAAAUACACUUAGACUAAGAUGACUUCUACUAUUAAGUAUUAUAUGUAGUAGUGUAAAUAUUCCUAUUUUUGUAUUUUUUAUAUUAAGGACUAAUAGACCUACUCAGCUUUAAAGUCGGUAUCUGUUUAUUUUUUAAUAAACGCCAAACAAACAACAAAAGAUGCUUCAAGACCUGACAAAAGAUGGACACAAUUCCCCAGUUAAUUUUGUAAAUUUCCUAAUGUAUAAGAAAAAGAACGUCUUUGUACCAAACGUAAUAUGCACUGGUUAUGACUGUAUGAUGAACACAGAGUCAUCGUUUGUUGACCUCGAUGCUAAAUAAUUCCAGUUCUAAGUAAUCGAAACAAAUACCUGCCUUUGAAAUGGAUCCGAAUGUUUGGGUUGCUUCGAUUUGUCAGAAAUUCCGUACUCGUGCGAUGAGUUACAUUCUCGGAAGGCGGGUAAAUCUUUUCGAACGGUUGCGCGUGGCUUUUCAAUAGGGAGUAUCUGGGGCAGCACUCAAAGUAUCUUUACCGGCUAAAGUACCGUGAUUUUAUAACGUAUUAUACAGUUAAAAGGGGUAAUUCCUUUACUUAUAUGAAAGAAACGACGUUCGUUAAUCUAAAUAAAUUUCCUUUCAACUGUAUCAACGUAACUACAUAACAAAAUAUGCUAAUAAACCAUUUACCAUGUACGGCUACGCAACCUGUUGUCAAUAAACAGUAAUGAAAUUGAAUCGUCAGUUUCACAACAAUGUGACCCCCAGCUACACGAAGAAUACAAACAACCGAAUAGACGGUACACGAAAAACGAAAACAAAGAAUAUAUCUGAAGAACAUACAGACCGUGAAAAUCCAUAUUUAAAAUGCCAGAAUUUCUCGUUCAUGACGAAAAUUAAUAAUUCAUCCCUUCUCUGUUCCCUACUUCCGAAUUCCGACCAGAAAAUUUGGAUUUGACAUUGAAAAACUACGCGAAUCCACGAGCAAACGUUCGAUCGAUAAAUUAAUUUGUCGAAAACGUCGUGAAUUAAUCAAGGAAUUCUAAAGGUA